rnacentral:rRNA from 1 species
GACAGAGGUGCCGAGCGUUAGGCGGAAUCACUGGGCUUAAAGCGUGUGUAGCCGGGCCGUUAAGUAUCUUGUGAAAUCCCCCGGCUCAACCGGGGAAUGGCUGGAUAUACUGGCGGUCUUGAGCAGUUCAGGGGCAGAUGGAACAGACGGUGGAGCGGUGAAAUGCGUAGAUAUCGUCUGGAACGCCAAAGGUGAAGACAGUCUGCUGGGAACUUGCUGACGCUGAGACACGAAAGCCAGGGGAGCGAACGGG